CAGUCGCCACGGUAAUACAGAGGGUGCGAGCGUUAAUCGGAUUUACUGGGCGUAAAGCGUGCGUAGGCGGCUUCUUAAGUCGGAUGUGAAAUCCCUGAGCUUAACUUAGGAAUUGCAUUCGAUACUGGGAAGCUAGAGUAUGGGAGAGGAUGGUAGAAUUCCAGGUGUAGCGGUGAAAUGCGUAGAGAUCUGGAGGAAUACCGAUGGCGAAGGCAGCCAUCUGGCCUAAUACUGACGCUGAGGUACGAAAGCAUGGGGAGCAAACAGGAUUAGAUACCCGUGUAGUCCCUGUCUCUUAUAC
rnacentral:rRNA from 1 species